UUAGGCCUAACACAUGCAAGUCGAACGGUAACAGGAAGAAGCUUGCUGCUUUGCUGACGAGUGGCGGACGGGUGAGUAAUGUCUGGGAAACUGCCUGAUGGAGGGGGAUAACUACUGGAAACGGUAGCUAAUACCGCAUAACGUCGCAAGACCAAAGAGGGGGACCUUCGGGCCUCUUGCCAUCGGAUGUGCCCAGAUGGGAUUAGCUAGUAGGUGGGGUAACGGCUCACCUAGGCGACGAUCCCUAGCUGGUCUGAGAGGAUGACCAGCCACACUGGAACUGAGACACGGUCCAGACUCCUACGGGAGGCAGCAGUGGGGAAUAUUGCACAAUGGGCGCAAGCCUGAUGCAGCCAUGCCGCGUGUAUGAAGAAGGCCUUCGGGUUGUAAAGUACUUUCAGCGGGGAGGAAGGGAGUAAAGUUAAUACCUUGCUCAUGACGUACCGCAGAGAAGCCCCGCCUU
rnacentral:rRNA from 1 species